GGGAAAAUAGCGUUCACGCUAUCCUAGGUUACCGUGAUCAUGAAGGCGGUUCCUCCAGGGUGAGGCUCUUCCAUUGCACUACGGUUGAGCUGACCUCUGCGAAUAUCCCUAAUGUGGAUAUCUCGGACGUACAAUUUUUGGUAGUCGGGACUGCGUUCGCGCUAUCCCGGAUAA
rnacentral:snRNA from 1 species